UACGGGGGGGGGCAAGCGUUGUUCGGAAUUACUGGGCGUAAAGGGCUCGUAGGCGGCCAACUAAGUCAUACGUGAAAUCCCUCGGCUUAACCGGGGAACUGCGUCUGAUACUGGAUGGCUUGAGUUCGGGAGAGGGAUGCGGAAUUCCAGGUGUAGCGGUGAAAAUGCGUAGAUAUCUGGAGGAACACCGGUGGCGAAGGCGGCAUCCUGGACCGAUACUGACGCUGAGGAGCGAAAGCCAGGGGAGCAAACGGG
rnacentral:rRNA from 1 species